rnacentral:rRNA from 1 species
UCCUGGCUUAGGACGAGCGCUGGCGGCGUGCUUCAUACAUGCAAGUCGAACGAGAAGUUACCUUCGGGUAAUGGAAAGUGGCGGACGGGUGAGUAAUGUGUAGAGAAUCUGCCCUAGAGUGGGGGACAACAGUUGGAAACGACUGCUAAUACCGCAUAUGAGCGUAGCUGGAAUGCUAUUCUUGAAAACUCCGGUGCUCUGGGAUGAGUCUGCAUCUGAUUAGCUAGUUGGCGGUGUAAUGGACCACCAAGGCGACGAUCAGUAGCUGGUUUGAGAGGAUGAUCAGCCACAAUGGGACUGAGACACGGCCCAUACUCCUACGGGAGGCAGCAGUAGGGAAUUUUGCGCAAUGGGCGAAAGCCUGAACCGCAGCAACGCCGCGUGAUUGAAAAAGCCCUUCGGGGUGUAAAGAUCUGUCAGUAGGGACGAAACUUGACGGUACCUACAGAGGAAGCAUCGGCUAACUCCGUGCCAGCCGCCGC